AAUAAUAGAUUUGAAAUAUUUAUUAUAUAGAUUUAAAGGGAUAAUCAUGGAAUACAUAAGUUAUUAAUAGUUAUAGGUUACUAAUAAAAUAUAAUAUAUUUUUAAAACCUAAGGGAAACCUAAUAUAUAUAAACUAAGUGAACUGAAACAUCUAAGUAACUUAAGGAAUAAAAAUCAACCGAGAUAUUAUGAGUAUUGGUGAGAGAAAAUAAUAUAGUCAAAAUAAGUAUUAUGUAAGAAAAUAUGUAAGAAUAUAGGACAAACUAGUUCUAAGACUAAAUACUAUUAAUAAACAAAAUAAGUACCGCAAGGGAAAGUAUAUAAGUGGUUAUUCUAUAAGCAGUUAUAGAUAUAAUAAAAAUAUCAAUAACGUACCUUUUGUAUAAUGGGUCAGCAAGUAAUUAAUAUUAGCAAAAAAAGUAUAAUUUUUAUAAAUAAUAUGAAUAUUUAAUAAUUGUUAAAUUUUUAAUAAAUUAAUUAAUUAAUUAAUUUAUUAAGAAUAAUAGUUAAUAUUAAUUGACCCGAAAGCAAAUGAUCUUAUUAUGACAAGACGGAAUAAAAACGGUCGAACAGGUUGAUGUUGCAAAAUCAUCUGAUUAGUUGUGAUAAGUAGUGAAAGACAAAUCUGAUUUGCAGAUAGCUGGUUUUCCACGAAAUAUAUGUUAGUAUAGCCUCUAUUAAUAAUAAUUACUCAUAUUUAUUUAUUUAAAUAUGAAUGAAUGGUACAGCUACAAAUAUCUUCAUAAAUUCUAUAAUAUAAAUAUUAUUAAUUUAUGAUUAUUGGGGAAUUAUUGUAAUUUUAUCAAAGAUAUUUGAUCUCGGAAUAUUUAAUUAAAUCUUUUUAAGAUAUUAAUAGAGAGUCAGACUAUUCGCGAUAAGGUGAAUAGUCUAAAGGGAAACAGCCCAGAUUAAGAUAUAAGGUUCCUAAUUUGAUAAUAAGUGAAAUAAAUAUUAAAAUAUUAUAAUACAAUUAGUUGAUGGGUUUGACAAUAACCACUCUUUAAUGAACAUGUAACAAUGCACUAAUUUAUAAUUUAUAUAAUAUAAUUAUUAUAUAAUUUUAUUAAUAUUUAAAAUCAAAUAUAUAUAUAUAUAUUUGUUAAUAAACAAUACACGGAUCUUAUUAAAAUAUAAUAAUUAUCAAACCGAAUAUCUAAAUAUUAUUAUAUAUAAUAAAAUAUAAUAAUAUGGUAGUGGAACAUCUAAUGAAAAUAUACUUCUAAGACAUUGUUUUAAGAAGUAAUAUAUAAAUAAAAAUUUAUAUAUAAUAUAAUUAGAUAGAGAAUGCUGACAUGAGUAACGAAAAAAAGGUAAAAACCUUUUCACCUAAAGCAUAAGGUUUUACUAUAAAAGUACGGCCCUUAAAUUAAAUAUGAAUAUAAAUAUAUUAAUGAUAGGAUAAUUCUAAAUUAAAUAUAAAAACUUUAUUACUGAAAAGUAAACUAAUAAAGUUCAAGAAAUAUGUUUAAUGUAUACCGUAAUGUAUACCGACUCAGGUAUGUUAGUAGAGAAUAUGAAGGUGAAUUAGAUAAUUAAAGGGAAGGAACUCGGCAAAAAUAGCUCUAACGUUAGUCAAUAAAGAGAAAUAAAAACAAAGUUGUCCAACUGUUUACUAAAAACACCGCACUUUGCAGAAACGAUAAGUUUAAGUAUAAGGUGUGAACUCUGCUCCAUGCUUAAUAUAUAAAUAAUAUUAUUGUUUGAUAAUAUUAUUAAAGUUAAGUAAAUAGCAGCCUUAUUUUGAGGGUUCUAAGGUAGCGAAAUUCAUUGUCCACUAAUUAUGGUCCUGCAUGAAUGACGUAAUGAUACAACAACUGUCUCCCCUUUAAGCUAAGUGAAAUUGAAAUCGUAGUGAAGAUGCUACGUACCUAUAGUGUGACGGAAAGACCCUAUGCAGCUUUACUGUAAUUAGAUAGAUCGAAUUAUUAUAUAUUUUAUUCAGCUAUAUUAAGUAAUUGUUUAAAUAAAUAUGAGAUACUUAUUUUAAUAUUAUAAUAAUUCUUAUCCUUUAUAUACAAUAAUUAAUUAAUUAAUUAAUUAUUGGUUAAUAUUUAAUAGAUAUAUUAUUCUUAAAUAUCCAUUAUAUAUAUUUUUAUAUAUAAUGGUAAAUAGGAGACAAUCUCUAAUUGGUAGUUUUGAUGGGGCGUCAUUUUCAGCAAAAGUAUCUGAAUAAGUCUAUAUACUUUUUAUAAUUUUAUUAAUUAAUUUUCUUUAAAGAAAAUAUAUUUAUAAUAUAUAUUAUAUAUAUUAAUUGUAAAUUAGGAUAAAUAAUUUCUUAUUAUUAAGAAAUAUUUAUUUAUCUUUAUAAUAGAAUAAAUUAUGUACAGUAAAAUUGUCUGGAAAACAAUAAUACCAAUGAAGUAUUACUUUAUUGGAUAAUAAAAUGUAUUAAAUUAAUAUAAUGGUAUAACUGUGCAACAAUUGUAACACAAACAAGUGAAACAAGUACGUAAGUAUAGCAUAAUGAACAAAUAACACUGAUUGUAAUGGUUAUUGAUAACGAAUAAAAGUUACGCUAGGGAUAAAUAUUUGUCCCAUUAUAUUGAAAAAUAUAAUUAUCCCCCCUCUAAUGUAUUUAAGGGAGGGGAGUAAAUUGGGUGAAUUGCAAGAAUAUCCAACCCCCGGGGUCCACACAUGUGUGGACCCCGGGGGGAAAUAUUAUUAAUUUAAUAUGGACAAUUUGCAGCGAAGCUUAUAACAAUCUUCAUAUAUAUAUAUGGUUAUAAGAACGUUCAACGACUAGAUAAUGAGUAAGAUUAACAAUAAUUUAUCCACGAGUGCCCAAUAUCAAAUAUAAAUAUUCAAUAAAAAUAAAUAAAUAAAUGAUGACUAUGAAAUAUAUUACAAAACAACAAAUUAAAAAUUUAGGACCUAAUUCUAAAUUAUUAAAACAAUAUAAAUCUCAAUUAACAAGAUUAACUCCUUUACAAUUAGAAGUUGGUGUAGGUUUAAUUUUAGGCGAUGUAUAUAUUAGAUCGAGAGAUGAAGGUAAAACUUAUUGUAUGCAAUUUGAAUGAAAAAAUGAAGCUUAUAUUAAUCAUGUAUGUAAAUUAUAUGAUGAAUGAAUCUUAUCUUCUCCUCAUAAAAAAGUAAGAACUAAUUAUUUAGGUAAUAAAGUAGUAACAUGAGGAGCUCAAACAUUUAAACAUAAAGCUUUUAAUGAAUUAGCUGAAUUAUUUAUUAUUAAUAAUAAUAAAUAUAUUAAUCCUAAUUUAGUAAAUCAAUACAUUACUCCUAGAAGUUUAGCUUAUUGAUUUAUGGAUGAUGGAGGAAAAUGAGAUUAUAAUCUUAAUUCAAAUAAUAAAAGUAUUGUUUUAAAUACUCAAGGGUUUUCUAUUANNNNNGUACAAUAUUUAAUUGAUGGAUUGAAUAUUAAAUUUAAUUUAAAUUGUAUUAUUAAAUUCAAUAAAAAUAAACCUAUUAUUUUUAUUCCUUCGAAUAAUUAUAAUCUUUAUUAUAAUUUAAUUAUUCCUUAUAUCAUUCCUGAAAUAAAAUAUAAAUUACCUACAUAAUGUAAUAAUAUUCUUUAUUUAUAUUAUUUCAACUUUAUUUUUUAAGGAGGAAGUAUUAUUUAUUUUUAGUUAUUUUAUAAAAAUAUUUGAUAAUGACAUAGUCUGAACAAUAUAGUAAUAUAUUGAAGUAAUAAUUAAAAAAGUUACGAUAACAAAAUUGAACAGGGUAAUAUAGCGAAAGAGUAGAUAUUGUAAGCUAUGUUUGCCACCUCGAUGUCGACUCUACCUAUCCUCUUGGUUGUAAGAGCUAAGAAGGGUUUGACUGUUCGUCAAUUAAAAGGUAACGUGAGUUGGGUUAAAUACGAUGUAAAUCAGUAUGGUUCCUAUCUACUAUAGGUAAUAUUAUCAAAUUAAGUCUCAUUCUUAGUACGCAAGGAUCAGAAUGAAUUAACCUAUGGUGUAUCUAUUGAUAAUAUUAUAAAUAAUAUCUUUUAUUUAUCUAUAAUAGUUUUUAUUAUAUUUUUCAUAUAUAUUUAUUAUAUGAAUUUUAUAUUAUCACUGUAGAAAAGCUAAGUUAAUAAGUUACCCAUAUAUUAUUUAUAUGGAACUAAGUAUUGAAUGCAUAUCAAAUACGAAGUUGUCUUAAUAUGAGAUAAUUAUCUGAUUAUUUUAUACUAAAAUAUAUAU
rnacentral:rRNA from 1 species